rfam:Alphaproteobacteria bacterium CG1_02_46_17 cg1_0.2_scaffold_12_c, whole genome shotgun sequence.
GGAAGAUCGGCGCGGGCGAAAAUCUCGCUAAUCCGGUCAGGGCCGAAAGGCAGCAGCCGCAACGAAUUCUUUUCGGGUCGUGUCCGGUCUUCCACC